rnacentral:lncRNA from 1 species
AAGGGGUCGUAAUUCCAACUAAAUACACAGGAGCAAAAUAAACAACGCAUGCCUAAAAUACUCAGUUCCAGUGUAAACAGUACAAAUGGGCAGGAUAUGUGUCUCUGAAGAACAAACGUGCAAGAACCAGGCCAGACCUCCCGUGUUUUAAUCUGAACCCCGGAGCAGAAGGGCUACGUGGCGAGAGGAACCUGCAGAGGCAUUGCAGUCUAUUACCACUGAGUUUCUAUUUAGUCCUUUGGAUCAGAAGAAUUUAAACAGGUCCACCACCAACUGACAGAAGAAGCUAAGAUGCUGGAAUAAGAAGCAGUGGCUCCAUGUGUGAAACAAGCUUUGCAUUGCUGAGUUUAUAAGAAC